AGCUGUGGAUUGUCCUUUGGACAAUGGUAGGAGAGCGUUCUAAGGGCGUUGAAGCAUGAUCGUAAGGACAUGUGGAGCGCUUAGAAGUGAGAAUGCCGGUGUGAGUAGCGAAAGACGGGUGAGAAUCCCGUCCACCGAUUGACUAAGGUUUCCAGAGGAAGGCUCGUCCGCUCUGGGUUAGUCGGGUCCUAAGCUGAGGCCGACAGGCGUAGGCGAUGGAUAACAGGUUGAUAUUCCUGUACCACCUAUAAUCGUUUUAAUCGAUGGGGGGACGCAGUAGGAUAGGCGAAGCGUGCGAUUGGAUUGCACGUCUAAGCAGUAAGGCUGAGUAUUAGGCAAAUCCGGUACUCGUUAAGGCUGAGC
rnacentral:rRNA from 1 species